UACGUAGGGUGCGAGCGUUGUCCGGAAUUAUUGGGCGUAAAGAGCUUGUAGGUGGUUUGUCGCGUCUGCUGUGAAAAUCCGAGGCUCAACCUCGGACUUGCAGUGGGUACGGGCAGACUAGAGUGCGGUAGGGGAGAUUGGAAUUCCUGGUGUAGCGGUGAAAUGCGCAGAUAUCGAGGAGGAACACCGGUGGCGAAGGCGGGUCUCUGGGCCGAUAUUGACGCUGAGGAGCGAAAGCGUGGGGAGCGAACAGG
rnacentral:rRNA from 1 species